AUGAAAUCGUUUCAUCGUGUGGUGAAUUGUUUUGUUCCGGGGUGCUGCAAUUGCAGUGAAAGUGGUGGCAAACUUUUUUUUCAAGUGCCGAGGAACUCCAUGAGGAAUAAGUGGUGGUUUGCUGUUGGACUGCCUCCUGACACUCUGCAACCUCAGACUAAAGCCUACUGUUGUGAGGAUCAUUUUAAUCUUGAAGAGGAUGUUGAAGAGUGGAGGCGGUACCUAUUUUGCAUUGAAGGAGGAUUGCCUACGUUCCGUCUGCGGCUGCACCAAGAUGUAAUUCCACAUCGCAACUUACCCAUCUUCAGUCCCAAAAUGCCUACUCCGAAGAGAAGGAAAACAGUUCUCCUCGACAGGAGCAAUUCUAUUGUGCAGACUGAAACCUCGUCUCCUGUAUCAUUGGCUAGUAUCAAAAGUAAUCGGUUCCAAGAUUUGAGAAGAAUUUCGAAUAUUCAGGAAGACAAUGAUUUCGCUUUGGCCUACAAUCCGAACCUAGUUACAUAUAGCCCCCACCGAAGAAACCGGAGGAACAGCAACGCUGAAAAUGCGGAUCCUAAUGAAUAUACUGAAACCUCGUCUCCUGUCUCAUUGGCUAGUAUCAAAAGUAAUCGGUUCCAAGAUUUGAGAAGAAUUUCGAAUAUUCAGGAAGACAAUGAUUUCGCUUUGGCCUACAAUCCGAACCUAGUUACAUAUAGCCCCCACCGAAGAAACCGGAGGGACAGCAACGCUGAAAAUGUGGAUCCUAAUGAAUAUAUUGGAGCCGUGCCCUCUACCCUGAAAAUCAACAGAGUGACUAGAUACGACCUUCAUCCGCUUGUACCUUCGUCAAAUCCUCAAAAUGAAGAUUCUACCACUAGCAAAUUUAGUGCGAGAAUUGCAAUAAGAGGAGGUAUCCCUGGCAGUACUGAAAAUGUGGAUCCUCAGGAAUCGGUUCACUCAAAAUCACAGGCACCUUUGAAGAUGGAUGUCGGUUGUCAGACGAUGAAACGAAUUACCAAAAACAAAUUUAGAAGUGUUGGUGUGAAUGUUGCACCCUCGGUAAAUGAUGCAGAGACUAAUACAGAUCCAAUCACAGUUCCGUCAUCAACUUCAAGCGCGGAGGAAUCUGCAACAGAGGAAAGCAAGUCCUCCAACUCCAUUUACUCUCUCACGGAUCGUGCAGAUCCUACUUAUCAGCCAUCUGACGGAACAUUCGCCAGUUCUUCCUCGGUUGAAAAUCUUGAAUCUGAUUUUUUGAAUGCUCAAAUGCGUAAACAAGCACUAAAUUUGACACUCAUGUUCAUCGAAAAUAAUCCAAAGUUGU
rnacentral:lncRNA from 1 species